GGGUUCUGUCCACAUUUUCAGAAAAAGACCAAGAACAAGAAAGGAAAAAAGAAGAUAGUUGAAGCAUUUCAAAGAAAGAUGAAGAAAGUUGCAGUGAUUGGUGGUGGGAUUAGUGGGUUGGUUUCUGCUUAUGUUUUGGCCAAAGAUGGAGUGAAUGUGGUGAUUUAUGAGAAGGAAGACUACUUGGGAGGACAUGCAAAGACUGUCAAUGUUGAUGGGGUCGAUGUGGACCUUGGCUUCAUGGUCUUCAACCGGGUCACAUAUCCAAACAUGAUGGAAUUCUUUGAGAGUCUUGGAGUUGAUAUGGAAUUAUCAGACAUGUCAUUUUCUGUCAGCCUAGACAACGGCCGCGGCUGCGAAUGGGGCAGCCGAAACGGUUUGUCAGGCUUGUUUGCUCAGAAGAGGAAUGCACUGAAUCCUUACUUUUGGCAAAUGAUUAGGGAAAUUAUCAAGUUCAAAGAUGAUGCUAUAAGCUAUCUUGAUAUGCUCGAGAGUAACCCUCAUAUUGACCGCAAUGAGCCUCUAGGGCAAUUCCUCAAGUCAAGGGGUUACUCAGAAUUAUUUCAGAAAGCCUAUCUUAUUCCAAUUUGUGGUUCUAUUUGGUCCUGCUCUUCUGAAGGGGUUAAGAGCUUUUCUGCUUUCUCUGUCCUCUCCUUCUGCCGCAAUCACCAUUUACUUCAGCUCUUUGGUAGACCACAGUGGCUAACUGUUAAAUGGCGUUCACAAGAUUAUGUUCACAAGGUUAGAGAAGAGCUUGAGAGUAAAGGUAGUCAAAUAAUAACUAGUUGUGAGGUGGACUUGGUUUCCUCAUCUGAAGAAGGAUGUGUUGUGCGCUGUAAAGACGGUUCUGAGCAAUUGUAUGAUGGAUGCAUAAUGGCUGUACAUGCACCUGAUGCUUUGAGAUUAUUAGGAGAUGAAGCAACAUUUGAUGAGCGAAGAAUUCUUGGCGCUUUUCAAUAUGCAUACAGUGAUAUUUAUCUACACAAUGAUAAAAAUUUAAUGCCCAAAAACCCAGCAGCAUGGAGUGCAUGGAAUUUCCUUGGAAGUAAAGACAACAAAAUUUGUGUAACAUACUGGCUAAAUAUUCUUCAGAAUCUGGAAGAAACAAGUCUACCCUUUCUUGUAACUCUUAAUCCAGAUCAUGUACCAGAAAAUAGUCUUCUUAAGUGGUCAACUGGUCACCCUGUCCCAUCAGUUGCUGCAUUCAAAGCUUCACAAGAGCUAGACCAUAUUCAAGGGAAAAGAAGAAUUUGGUUUUCUGGUGCCUAUCAAGGCUAUGGAUUUCAUGAAGAUGGAUUAAAGGCUGGCAUGGUUGCAGCUCAUGACAUUCUUGGAAGACAUUGUGCCCUUCUGACCAACCCAAAACACAUGGUACCUUCUUGGAAGGAACUGGGAGCCCGCGUGUUCGUGACUAGAUUCCUGAGUUUCUUUAUUACUACUGGUUGUUUAACCUUAUUGGAGGAGGGAGGAACUAUGUUUACCUUUGAGGGAACUGGGAAGAAGUGUUUCCUUAAAUGUGUUUUGAGAGUCCACAGUCCCCAAUUUUAUUGGAAGGUUAUGACUCAUGCAGAUUUAGGCCUAGCUGAUGCAUAUAUCAACGGGGACUUUUCAUUUGUAGAUAAAGAUGAAGGCCUCUUGAAUUUCUUUUUGAUUCUCAUAGCAAAUAGAGAUUUAAAUGCAUCCAACACAAAAUUGAAGAAUAGACGGGGUUGGUGGACGCCAGUUUUCUUUACAGCUGGUUUGACAUCUGCAAGGUUCUUUAUGGAUCAUGUCUCAAGGAAAAAUACUCUCACACAGGCUCGCAGGAACAUCUCUAGGCAUUAUGAUCUGAGCAAUGAACUCUUUGCACUUUUCCUAGAUGAAAGUAUGACAUAUUCAUGUGCAGUGUUCAAGAAUGAAGAUGAAGACUUGAAAGAUGCACAAAUGAGGAAAAUAUCUCUUCUGAUUGAAAAAGCUAGAAUAGAGAAGAAACAUGAAAUUCUUGAGAUUGGAUGUGGAUGGGGAAGUUUAGCCAUUGAAGUUGUCAAGAAAACUGGUUGCAAAUACACUGGUAUCACUUUGUCCAAAGAGCAACUCAAAGUUGCAGAAAAAAGAGUUAAAGAUGAAGGGCUUCAGGACCAUAUCAAGUUCAUUCUGUGUGACUAUCGCCAAUUACCAAAGACACGCAAAUACGAUAGGAUUAUAUCUUGUGAAAUGAUAGAAGCUGUUGGCCAUGAAUACAUGGAAGAAUUCUUUGGUUGUUGUGAAUCAGUAUUGGCAGAUGAUGGACUUCUUGUUCUCCAGUUCAUAUCGAUCCCGGAUGAGCGUUAUGAUGAAUACCGGCGAAGUUCUGAUUUUAUAAAAGAAUAUAUUUUUCCAGGAGGUUGCCUACCCUCUCUAAGUAGGAUAACAUCAGCCAUGGUAGCCACAUCCAGGCUCUGUGUGGAGCACACUGAAAACAUAGGAAUCCAUUACUACCAAACGCUAAGAUUGUGGAGAAAGAACUUCAUGGAAAGACAAAGGGAAAUUUUGGCCCUAGGAUUCAAUGAAAAAUUCAUCAGAACAUGGGAAUACUAUUUUGAUUACUGUGGUGCAGGUUUUAAGUCACGUACACUUGGGAAUUAUCAGGUGGUGUUCUCAAGGCCUGGUAACGCUACCGCAUUCAGCGAUCCAUACAAAAACUGGCCCCAAACUUGUUGAUCUGUCUCCUUUCUUGAUGAUUCCAAAGAAUCCCUGUCAUUUUUUAUCUCUUAUACAUUGUUGAAUUAGAGCAGCUGAAUUGUGCUGCUUCCUAGUGCAAACAAACUACAAGGCUUUUCCACCACAUGCAUCUCCACCACCACUAGUUGCAACAAAACUCCCACCACCGCCCGAUGAAUCGGCCCUUAGAAUCGAAGAGCUCGCCACUGCAAAUGAAGUCCAUUUGAAGAAGAUCUUGGUCAUUAUGGUGAUCUCACACAUCACGUUGUUGGCAUGGGUCAUUUUGGCAAGCUCGAAGCAAGGAGUGACUGAUGUGGCGCUCCCAUUGAUAUUCAACGAUGGUGUUUAUCUUGUUGGUUACCAAUCGAUGUUCAUUUUUGCAUUUUGGGUUGAUGCUUAUCUUGUUGGUUACCCAAAACUUUUGAGCUUAUCAAAAUAAAAAACCAAAACUUUUGAACUUUGCUAA